rnacentral:rRNA from 1 species
AUUGAACGCUGGCGGCAUGCCUUACACAUGCAAGUCGAACGGUAACAGGUCUUCGGAUGCUGACGAGUGGCGAACGGGUGAGUAAUACAUCGGAACGUGCCUAGUAGUGGGGGAUAACUACUCGAAAGAGUGGCUAAUACCGCAUGAGAUCUACGGAUGAAAGCAGGGGAUCGCAAGACCUUGUGCUACUAGAGCGGCCGAUGGCAGAUUAGGUAGUUGGUGGGAUAAAAGCUUACCAAGCCGACGAUCUGUAGCUGGUCUGAGAGGACGAUCAGCCACACUGGGACUGAGAGACGGCCCAGACUCCUACGGGAGGCAGCAGUGGGGAAUUUUGGACAAUGGGCGCAAGCCUGAUCCAGCAAUGCCGCGUGCAGGAUGAAGGCCUUCGGGUUGUAAACUGCUUUUGUACGGAACGAAAAGCCCUGGGUUAAUACCCUGGGGUCAUGACGGUACCGUAAGUAUAAGCACCGGCUAACUACGUGCCAGCAGCCGCCGUAAGAC